CGGAUGCGCUGUCAGCAGGGGGAACACACAUUCCAAAGGGAACAGAAUCGGCUGUUACACCGGGUAGGAAUUUAAUGUCCAACACGAUCCUGAAAGAACCGGAGAAAAGUGCUGCUAUUUGAAGGCUAUUCUGUUAACAGAUGCUGUUCUUCACCAGUUUCUGCAGUCUCUGUGUAAGCGGCCAUCAAACACAAUCAUGAGAAGAUCAUCAGAAAAUCGGAUAUAAUGUGUAAUUUGUAUUUGUGUAUAAAAGGUCAACAUUGGUCCAAUGAUUUUUUUUUCUUUAAUGAAAAACAUGAUUCAGUCAAUUAAGCUCCUCCCACUGCAACACGUAAUCAGUGAAGCUCCUCCCACAUCAAUUCUCCAAUAAAUGCUGGAAUAUUCCCAUCAGACGAGCAUCAGGAAGAGCUGAAAUCUGCAAAGACUGAGUUUAUUAAAGAGGACAGUGAGAACAUGAGUGAUCCAGAACCCUGCAGAAUGAAACACACUGAAGAUACUGAAGAACAAAGAGGUUGGUGUUUAUUCUUCAUUCAUUCAUGAUGCUGAACAACAUUCAUGUUAGAAAGAUUCAAAAACACUUCUGCACAUUUAGAUAUACAGUUAAACUGAAAUUAGUACAAAUGUUUUUCAACAAAUGUUCAGUAAAGGGAGGUUUGAGAAGCUUUCAUAUUAAUUGUCAACAUCAGGUCAAACUAAUAUUUUAACCUGCUGGAGAAUGUUGGCGCACUAAUUUGUUCUUAGUUUUAAUGUUUUAAAGUUAGUUUUAGUAUAAAAGUUUGUAAUUACCUCAAGCUUCAGUUUGUAAUUACCUCAAUGUUUUACUCUUAAAUGUGGCGAUGUGAGCAUUAUGGAGCGCUAUUAUGUCUGUUCCAUUCAUACUGGAAGCCAGAGGGCA